rnacentral:rRNA from 1 species
GACGAACGCUGGCGGCGUGCUUAACACAUGCGAGUCGAACGGAAAGGCCCUGCUUUUGUGGGGUGCUCGAGUGGCGAACGGGUGAGUAACACGUGAGUAACCUGCCCUUGACUUUGGGAUAACUUCAGGAAACUGGGGCUAAUACCGGAUAGGAGCUCCUGCUGCAUGGUGGGGGUUGGAAAGUUUCGGCGGUUGGGGAUGGACUCGCGGCUUAUCAGCUUGUUGGUGGGGUAGUGGCUUACCACGGCUUUGACGGGUAGCCGGCCUGAGAGGGUGACCGGCCACAUUGGGACUGAGAUACGGCCCAGACUCCUACGGGAGGCAGCAGUGGGGAAUAUUGCACAAUGGGCGGAAGCCUGAUGCAGCAACGCCGCGUGCGGGAUGACGGCCUUCGGGUUGGAAACCGCUUUCGCCUGUGACGAAGCGUGAGUGACGGUAAUGGGUAAAGAAGCACCGGCUAACUACGUG